UUAACUUAAGGGCCGCUUCUCUUGCGAG
rnacentral:sRNA from 1 species